UNGUUAUAUAUGUUAGGCAUACUUACGACU
rnacentral:piRNA from 1 species